UACGAAGGGGGGCUAGCGUUGUUCGGAAUCACUGGGCGUAAAGCGCACGUAGGCGGAUCUUUAAGUCAGGGGUGAAAUCCCGAGGCUCAACCUCGGAACUGCCUUUGAUACUGGGGAUCUCGAGUCCGGGAGAGGUGAGUGGAACUGCGAGUGUAGAGGUGAAAUUCGUAGAUAUUCGCAAGAACACCAGUGGCGAAGGCGGACUCACUGGCCCGGAACUGACGCUGAGGUGCGAAAGCGAUGGGGAGCAAACA
rnacentral:rRNA from 1 species